rnacentral:ncRNA from 1 species
UUGGUCUUGAACCUCUUGUUAUCUUAGCCUCCUACCCAUACAUGCAAGCCUCCACACAACAGUGAAAUAGCCCACUAUUAAACCCUACAGAGCAGGCAUCAGGCUAUCGCCCACAACGCCAAGCAAUUUAAGCCACACCCCCACGGGCCAGCAGCAGUAAUUAAUAUUGGGCUAUAAGCGCAAGCUUGACCCAAUAGGAACUCCAAGGGCCGGUUAAUCUCGUGCCAGCGACCGCGGUUACACGACAGGCCCAAGACAACACUAACGGCGUAAAGCACGACCAAACUGAUAGUUCAACUAUUAGAAAUGAGAUCAAGCUGGGCUGUAAAAAGCCAUAAGCCAUACCAAACACUAAUUCUAAUAUCAAAACUACUCCGACUCGUGAAAGCAAGGACACAAACUAAGAUUAAGAUACCUUACUAUGCCCAGCUGUAACAAAACAAUUAGCAUAACAAAUUGUUCGCCAAAUAACUACGAGUAAAAACUUUAAAAUUUAAAAGACUUGACGGGUACUUCACAUCAACCUAGAGGAGCCUGUCUAAUAACCGAUAAUCCACGAUUAACCCAACCCCACCUAGCCCAACAGUCUAUAUACCGCCGUCGGCCAGCUUACCUUGUGAAAGAAACAAAGUAAACAUAAUAACACCCCACAUUUAACACGACAGGUCGAGGUGUAACUAAUGGUGUGGAAUAAGAUGGGCUACAUUCUCUAACUCAGAGAACACGGAUAAAUCAUGAAAAUAAAAACUGAAGGAGGAUUUAGCAGUAAGAUAAGAACACAAUACUUAACUGAAGCUAGAGCAAUGAAGUGCGC